GUCACCCAGGGUGAAGAAUUGUUAUUUCUCACCCCAGCCGAACCACACAUCAGGCACCGAAGAAAAAAGCGAGGUAAAUUUACCUCAUGUAGUGGUAGAUAUUACAGCAUUGAGACCCUGUGCGCAAAAGAAAAAAGCAAGGUAAAUUUACCUCUUCUCUCCCCUACCGAACUAAUCGGGAGAAAACCAACUCUACAGAUCGUGGGAGGGUUCUGCUAUUUCCCGCACCAUCUCAGCCAGUGCUACACGCAGCCAUGGCGAUUCCCCUUCUCUGUAGGCCAACAGAGCAGGCCGCUCCAUCCAAGCGGUCGCGAGCCAGCCGCGGUGGCUCUGGGGAAGAGGUCGUCCCACCGGCGGGAUGCAGUUGAAUUGAAGCGACGGCGCCAAGUUGGAUUGUGAUUUCUGCGGCGGAGCGGCGCUGGGCCACGGCGACGCGCUCCACGAGCUCGAGAAGUGUCUUAUAUCUCCUCUCCCAUCCUCGUAUCCUUGAUUGAUCCUCGCCUCCCUGAUUGAUGUAUGCCCAUUGAUCUGGGUCGUUUUUUCAUUGACUAGGUAUGAAUAUGAUUGACCUCGUUUGCAAGUUUGGUCCCUGGCUCACUGCACGCGCCCAUGAGCUCAAGCCCCGCCCCUUACCUCCCUCUAACUUGGCCGCCUCCACCCCCUGGUAAAACCCCUUCCUGUUUUUGAUAGACUGAAGCUUGUUUGUGUCGGCAGAAUUUGUGUGUUUUGAGUUUGGCAUCUAAAUGAGGGUGGUAAGUUGUGAUGGGGAAAUUACUUGUCAAGGAAUCACUUGUGCUUGUUGUAGUGAGAGCAGAACGAAAUGACCAUGUUUUAUGAAAUUAUACUUCUUAUGCUAAGGUUGUAGUAUUAGACCAAGUCUAUUCUUUUUUAAAUUAGUGACAAAUUAGUAGCUCGUUUUGUUGUGGAAGCACAAUUUAACAUUCAGUCAGUAUUUUUUUAUUGUUGUUUAGAAAUUUUGACAUCAUGUCUGAAGACUAAAUUGAUAUCGGUUCAUACGAAUGACCAUGUCGCUGCUAAUCUCAGGCCAUCCAGGCAAGACAUAGCUUCUAGUUUUUCGGCAUCAGUGCACGCUUGAAGCACUCUGCCUGCAGAAAGCAGAACCUUUCCGGUUAUCUUGUAAAACCAUCCCCACACUCGCAGCUCCGGUUUCCCUGAUGAUAGAGCCAUCCACAUUGAUUUUGACCCAGUUCAUUCCGGCGGCUUCCAGCCAGAUCAAUUAUGUACUCAUCCACCCGCCACUUUCUUUCUUCAGUAAUUAACUGGUAUAUUCUUACAUGUGUUAUUGCAGUGGGCAAGUGCAGAAAAUUUAUGGUCUAUUUGGCGUGACGAAGUUGAGGGGAAUGUGUUGCAAACCAUGAUGUUUUCCUAAAAUCCAAUUGAUUUGGAUACACUUGCGAAAUGCAGAAGUAGUUUCAUCACUGUCUUUUUAUAUUUGGUAUUUUCUGACAUGAACUAUUGCAUCUACUGAGGUGAUUUCGUUGGGAAGCUUGCCAGACUAUACUCUAGACUCUCUACCGCUAUGCAAUGGUAUUUUUGUCAGUCUACAAUCUAGUGCUUAGAAUUCUUUUGUUUGGAAAUAACAAACAUGGCAAGCUUUAUUUUUUUUCUGAAACUGUGUUCUGCAUGUUCAUCAUAUAUCGCAGGUUCAUUUAUGGAGUUCUUGAAAGAAAAAAGGUGGUAAUUGAACCAAGCAAUUCAGUAUGAACUAAUAGAGUGUAGGGGGUUCUACAGAUGCAGCAGCAUCAAGGACUGUGCCUUGUGAAGCAUAUGGAGUGGAGUCGCGACAACGCCGUGAUUCUCAUAUAACCUAUGAGAAUGAACACAACCACAACCACGUCCAGCCACCGACCUAUCAAUGCUCGCUGUGAAUUCAGUAAAGCCUAACUGAA